GACGAACGCUGGCGGCGUGCUUAACACAUGCAAGUCGAACGAUGAAGCCUAGCCUUGCUAGGUGGAUUAGUGGCGAUGGGUGAGUAAUACGUGAGUAACCUACCUUUAACUCUGGGAUAAGCCCGGGAAACUGGGUCUAAUACCGGAUACGACCAAUCUCCCGCAUGGGGUGUUGGUGGAAAGCGUUAUGUAGUGGUUAUAGAUGGGCUCACGGCCUAUCAGCUUGUUGGUGAGGUAACGGCUCACCAAGGCGACGACGGGUAGCCGGCCUGAGAGGGUGACCGGCCACACUGGGACUGAGACACGGCCCAGACUCCUACGGGAGGCAGCAGUGGGGAAUAUUGCACAAUGGGCGCAAGCCUGAUGCAGCGACGCCGCGUGAGGGAUGACGGCCUUCGGGUUGUAAACCUCUGUUAGCAGGGAAGAAGAGAGAUUGACGGUACCUGCAGAGAAAGCGCCGGCUAACUACGUGCCAGCAGCCGCGGUAAUACGUAGGGCGCGAGCGUUGUCCGGAAUUAUUGGGCGUAAAGAGCUUGUAGGCGGUUUGUCGCGUCUGCUGUGAAAGGCCGGGGCUUAACUCCGUGUAUUGCAGUGGGUACGGGCAGACUAGAGUGCAGUAGGGGAGACUGGAAUUCCUGGUGUAGCGGUGGAAUGCGCAGAUAUCAGGAGGAACACCGAUGGCGAAGGCAGGUCUCUGGGCUGUAACUGACGCUGAGAAGCGAAAGCAUGGGGAGCGAACAGG
rnacentral:rRNA from 1 species